AACAAAUGCCCUGCUUCCAGGAAAAGCCUCUAAGCAUCAGGUAACAUCAAAUCGUACCCCAAACCGACACAGGUGGUCAGGUAGAGAAUACCAAGGCGCUUGAGAGAACUCGGGUGAAGGAACUAGGCAAAAUGGUGCCGUAACUUCGGGAGAAGGCACGCUGAUAUGUAGGUGAAGUCCCUCGCGGAUGGAGCUGAAAUCAGUCGAAGAUACCAGCUGGCUGCAACUGUUUAUUAAAAACACAGCACUGUGCAAACACGAAAGUGGACGUAUACGGUGUGACGCCUGCCCGGUGCCGGAAGGUUAAUUGAUGGGGUCAGCGCAAGCGAAGCUCUUGAUCGAAGCCCCGGUAAACGGCGGCCGUAACUAUAACGGUCCUAAGGUAGCGAAAUUCCUUGUCGGGUAAGUUCCGACCUGCACGAAUGGCGUAAUGAUGGCCAGGCUGUCUCCACCCGAGACUCAGUGAAAUUGAACUCGCUGUGAAGAUGCAGUGUACCCGCGGCAAGACGGAAAGACCCCGUGAACCUUUACUAUAGCUUGACACUGAACAUUGAGCCUUGAUGUGUAGGAUAGGUGGGAGGCUUUGAAGUGUGGACGCCAGUCUGCAUGGAGCCGACCUUGAAAUACCACCCUUUAAUGUUUGAUGUUCUAACGUGGACCCGUGAUCCGGGUUGCGGACAGUGUCUGGUGGGUAGUUUGACUGGGGCGGUCUCCUCCUAAAGAGUAACGGAGGAGCACGAAGGUUGGCUAAUCCUGGUCGGACAUCAGGAGGUUAGUGCAAUGGCAUAAGCCAGCUUGACUGCGAGCGUGACGGCGCGAGCAGGUGCGAAAGCAGGUCAUAGUGAUCCGGUGGUUCUGAAUGGAAGGGCCAUCGCUCAACGGAUAAAAGGUACUCCGGGGAUAACAGGCUGAUACCGCCCAAGAGUUCAUAUCGACGGCGGUGUUUGGCACCUCGAUGUCGGCUCAUCACAUCCUGGGGCUGAAGUAGGUCCCAAGGGUAUGGCUGUUCGCCAUUUAAAGUGGUACGCGAGCUGGGUUUAGAACGUCGUGAGACAGUUCGGUCCCUAUCUGCCGUGGGCGCUGGAGAACUGAGGGGGGCUGCUCCUAGUACGAGAGGACCGGAGUGGACGCAUCACUGGUGUUCGGGUUGUCAUGCCAAUGGCACUGCCCGGUAGCUAAAUGCGGAAGAGAUAAGUGCUGAAAGCAUCUAAGCACGAAACUUGCCCCGAGAUGAGUUCUCCCUGACCCUUUAAGGGUCCUGAAGGAACGUUGAAGACGACGACGUUGAUAGGCCGGGUGUGUAAGCGCAGCGAUGCGUUGAGCUAACCGGUACUAAUGAACCGUGAGGCUUAACCUU
rnacentral:rRNA from 1 species